rnacentral:rRNA from 1 species
AUUGAACGCUGGCGGCAUGCCUUACACAUGCAAGUCGAACGGCAGCACGGGAGCAAUCCUGGUGGCGAGUGGCGCACGGGUGAGUAAUAUAUCGGAACGUGCCCAGUCGUGGGGGAUAACGCAGCGAAAGCUGUGCUAAUCCCGCAUACGAUCUAUGGACGAAAGCGGGGGAUCGCAAGACCUCGCGCGAUUGGAGCGGCCGAUAUCAGCUUAGCUAGUUGGUGAGGUAAAGGCUCACCAAGGCGACGAUCUGUAGCUGGUCUGAGAGGACGACCAGGCACACUGGAACUGAGACACGGUCCAGACUCCUACGGGAGGCAGCAGUGGGGAAUUUUGGACAAUGGGCGAAAGCCUGAUCCAGCAAUGCCGCGUGCAGGAUGAAGGCCUUCGGGUUGUAAACUGCUUUUGUACGGAACGAAACGGUGAGCUCUAAUACAGUUUGCUAAUGACGGUACCGUAAGAAUAAGCACCGGCUAACUACGUGCCAGCCGCCGCGGUAA